rnacentral:tRNA from 1 species
GGAUGUCGCCAAGUGGUUAAGGCACCAGAUUUUGAUUCUGGCAUCUCGUAGGUUCAAAUCCUGCCAUCCC